rnacentral:sRNA from 1 species
UCGAGCGUCGGCGUAGCGGCUCUGGUCAUCCCCGAACUCGGCCAGCACCCGGGCGCCGAUGACCGGACCCAUCCCCGGCUGG